rnacentral:rRNA from 1 species
UACGUAAGGUGCGAGCGUUGUCCGGAAUUAUUGGGCGUAAAGGGCUCGUAGGCGGUUUGUCGCGUCGGGAGUGAAAAUCCAGGGCUUAACUCUGGACUGGCUUCCGAUACGGGCAGACUAGAGGUAUGCAGGGGAGAACGGAAUUCCUGGUGUAGCGGUGAAAUGCGCAGAUAUCAGGAGGAACACCGGUGGCGAAGGCGGUUCUCUGGGCAUUACCUGACGCUGAGGAGCGAAAGUGUGGGGAGCGAACAGG